AGGGUUCGAUUCGUGGCUCAGGACGAACGCUGGCGGCGUGCCUAACACAUGCAAGUCGAACGGGGAUUUGUUUCGGCAGAAUCCUAGUGGCGAACGGGUGAGUAACGCGUAGGCAACCUGCCCUCCGGCCGGGGACAACACUCCGAAAGGGGUGCUAAUACCGGAUACGAAGUCUGUGCCGCAUGGUACGGAUUUGAAAGAUGGCCUCUAUUUAUAAGCUAUCGCCGGGGGAUGGGCCUGCGUCCGAUUAGCUGGUUGGUGGGGUAACGGCCUACCAAGGCGACGAUCGGUAGCCGGUCUGAGAGGAUGAACGGCCACAUUGGGACUGAGACACGGCCCAGACUCCUACGGGAGGCAGCAGUGGGGAAUCUUCCGCAAUGGGCGCAAGCCUGACGGAGCAACGCCCGCGUGAGUGAGGAAGUUCUUCGGAACGUAAAGCUCUGUUGUUCCUGACGAACCUCCCCUUUAUCAACAACGGAGGGGACUGACGGUAGGGAACGAGGAAGCCACGGCUAACUACGUGCCAGCCGCGGC
rnacentral:rRNA from 1 species